UUGUCAAAAAUUGCCACGCGGAAAAAAGGAGUCAUCGGCAAGACAGUGUGCGCUUCGGUUGUCGCUUAAACACGCAGGCGGCGGUAUUUUCUUGUGGCGCGACGAUUCUCCACACAAAAGGCAGAUUCCGUGCUCUUAAAUCGCGUUCUAGUUCGGUCGAUCGGUUACGAUUAUCCCCCCGAAAGAUACAUCCCGAAUAGCAAAGACCAUGAUUUGAAACAUUCUGUAACUGGGAUUCCCUGGCCCGGGUGGACCAUCAUCCGUCGAUUCUGUGCGGAGAUUUCGAUAACGCGAUAACUGUGGUGCGCUGACGUUUAACGGCCCUCUUCUGACGGAUCUGAUGUUGACUAUCCGGAUAAUCUGCGGUGGCCAUCCUCUGGAAAUCUUCCAUCCGCCUCACCAGAAGCUGUUGAAACAUGCCGCCAUGGUGGUGGUUCCCAUUCAGCCAUCGACGACGAUGGCUGGAAUGGUAUCCGUCGAGAGAGAUUCCCCGUCGAUUCAAGAUCUAUUCAAGGAUGUUAAGGCUGCCGCACGCACAGGCAAGCGACCAACAAUUUCUGGUGGUUGGUGCUUCGCUGACUACCCAUCACCUACGCCGUCACCGAAGUCGAACAGGAAAUCAGAUUGAAUUGCCUGGAAGCCACGCUACAGAUCUUUAAGAAACCCUAAAUCGGAGGCAAUAUUGGCCUUAUUUAGGAACCAACAGAGCGGUGUAGCUUCCGGUACAACCUGUCCGGGAUACUCACAAUGGUGACGAUUUAAAAGUUGCUUCCACAUCUGAAACGGGACGGGACACAGCAUUGCUGAAGGGCAUCACCUCCAUCGAGUACCAAGCAAAUUCUUUCUCGACCAAGUGCAAAUAACUUGAGGCGCUCAGCGUUGAACUGACCGACUAAGGUGGCUGCCCGAACUUCAAACCAAAGGCCUGUAUCUUUGAGUACAACUUGCUUUGAAAUACUCGGGCUCGGGAUUGUUCAUCGUUGCAGGUGACUCUGAAAAAGUCGGCGGUCGAAACAGCUGUCAAAUUAAAAGUUUCAAUGGGCUAAAUCACCUAUACCACAAUAUUAUAAAAUAAAAUAAAACUAUUUUGAAUUCCUUUUUUAAUCAACCAGGUUGUUAAAGUUAUUUCUUGUUUUAAGGAAUAAUAUUCUUGAUUAGUCGUGCUUUAAAUAAACGUUUAUCAAGUUUAGUUAAAAGCAUAACUAUCAUGAAUAAAAUUCCUUAAAAUUAGUAAUAACUUUAGCAAUCUAUUCCAAUCAAUAAGAAUAUAAAUUAUUCAUGGUAAACCAUGAAAUUCUAUGGUUAAAACAAUAUGUAUAUACCAUAGAAAAACCUUGAUUUCCAUCUUCGUUUUAACAAUCGAAAUAAACGGAUUUUCAUGGUUUUACCAUGAAAAACUGAAAGCUGUUUUAACCAUGAACUUUAUAUUUUUGGGCUUCCCAAUGUAUGGAAAAUCGCCAUUUUUUUCAUGGUCACGCUGCAUAACAAUACCCCUUUUUCAUGGUUAUUUUCGCCAAAACAGUGAAAUGUAUGGUCGGAAACUAUGAAUUCCAAUGUGUGUUCACGGUAUCGUGGACGAUAAUAAGCAUUGUGUAGACCAUAAAAUUUAUGGUUUGUGAAUCGAAUCGACGGAUGAUGGUCCACCCGGGCCAGGGAAUCCCAGUUACAGAAUGUUUCAAAUCUUGAAGUAGAGAUAACCGGCAAUUUUAUAAAUUUCUUUCGAAAACAAAGACGCGAAAAUGGCGCACUUUCCCACCAAAAUAAAUCUCUACACGCAAAAUUAAAAGUAUGUAAAAAAUAAUAAAGUUUACCAACGUUCGUUUUGGUUUGGAUUUUAAUUUUACCAUGAAGUACACAGUCACAAUAAAAAUCACAAGAAAAUUAUAACAAUACCGUGCUUUUGAUAUUUAAGACAACUAUGAAAUAUUUAGAAUUGACGAUAUACUUCACGGUGACGUUAAAAAUGAUGGUGGUUUCAAAAUUAAAAGCGGUUGAAAAUUAUUGAGAUAUUACGAUGAAGCUUAUUGUUAAAUUGAAAAUCAUUGUUCGGUUAUAUUAAUACCAUGGUCUUUGCUAUUCGGAAGUUUAGUCGAGUUUGCUGUGCCGUCUUCAAAAUUGUAGAUGUCGCACUAGUCGCGUUUGUUUACAUGCAUCCUGGGUCGUCCCUAGCAGCGGCAACGUUCAUUUUCCAUUGAAACCGCUUGAUUUUGUUUCGGCAUCCUUGGAUGCAAUUCAACUGACGAAAUACCAUUUUAAAAGGGCACAUAAUCAAAUGUGAUGCAAAAAAGAAAAAUGAAUAACUUUAUAACUAAAUUUUGAAAUAGUUGUCAAUGAAAUUAGUAAUUUUAUUUCAAUCUUUUUGUGUUCCAUUCUCGGUUCCAAAUUAAUAAAAUUUCUGUUUAUAGCAAAGA